rnacentral:rRNA from 1 species
CUUUUUAGUAGGAUUUGUUCGGGAGAGGUGACGGAGAGGAAAGAGGGAAGGCGACCGCGCGGAACGAGACGUGGAGGGGCGGCAGAUAGAGACAGAUGGCCGCCCGGAGGGGCGACAGCGACGACGGCUCCGACAAACAACGGGUAGGUCAUCUAACACUUAACGUCAUCUGCUCUCCGUGUAACCGGUGUUACCGAGAUUGCGAGAAUGCUCCCUAGUCUUGUGUUUGGAAUAGACCUCGUUUACGUCCCGACAAGACAUGGUGAGCUGCAGGAGGCGAUCGGGUGAAGUGUCGAUCCCACCUCUCACACGUCUGAUCACUCGGGUUUAGUCACGUGUUUAGUUAAGUUGUCCGAUGGUUCCUCCGUCACCUCGUCUUCUGUGUGCCAAAACUUCGCCACUAGCCGUAACUCUGGGUACAAGUCGAGAGUUGGUAGUGUUUCCGUAAAACGAGGACGGGUAUGCUGAUACCGAGGGUCGGUUUGUCGUGGCAAACGGGGUGGACGUACCCGGUGGGGCCCUGUAACGGCCAAGACUUGCGUUUCCAACAACUUACACGACAGUUCGAUCCGGAGCGAGAGUUGACACUCUAAAGGUACUGUAGGUUCAAACUGUCUUUCGUCAUGAAGAUGGGUCUAGACGGGUUCCCUAUGGUCUAAAGCGUCAAACUGUAAGGCUAACGACUCUUCCCAAUGGAACUAAACCUAUAAGGUUACCUCAAACCACCACCAGUGUCCGCUAAACCCCAGUGCGCCCAAGUAUACCUUCUUCUACGACCGUUCGACGAAGUGAGACUUAGACCCUCAAAAAGAGUCCAACUGGAUUUAUCUCGGCCGCAGGGAAACGAUCUCUAACAGAGUCUCGGUCUAUACUCCUGUCCGUAUCUCCGACGACUCAUACCACGACUCUAUGUUUCCCAACAAUCUAUGGACCCACACCCGUUACCGUUGUACGUCCUUCCAAGGGAGGCGACACUACAGUUACAUAGACAGGCCGGGUAACCUGUUAGUCUUAAGCCAUGUUUCCAACUUUAUUUCUUAUACUUGAGUAAAAGACUUUAUUCAUCCCGUUAUCUAAUACUCUAUAGGGCUGUCUAAGAAGAAGUGUUUCUUUCGGUCCGACUGUUUUAACAUGUCCUUUGGGCAGAUACCCUACUUAGAAGAGUCUUUUGAAAAUGUUACGCCUUUUUCCUCCCUGAACGGCUGAUGUCUAUAAAAGGACUCGGACUAGAAGGACUUCAACAAGACUGAUCACUCAUGCAACUACUUUAAGCAUUAAGUUACGGCCUCGAAGGUCUCCGUUUCGCAUCCGCAAUACUCUUGUACCCCGAGUCGUACGUUCUACAAUAAAAGGAACGAUUACUACUAUAACAACGAGUAAAGAAACUAAGAUGUGAACUCGCACCACGACUACGUUUCGAUCGACGAUUAACCUAGUACCCACUGUAAUGCCGAAUAGACUUCUUACUUUUCGAGAGAUAACUACUUUAAUUUAAUUGUGGAGAACUCGAAAGACUUGACUAACGUAAGUAUUUCUUACCAUGAUAGUCACCCUUCUAACCGUUCCUCUAAGAACAACUCGAGUAAUGGUUUCCGCCUUGACAGUUCAGCCACUAUCUCCUCUUUCUAAACCAAGUCUAUCGUCUAGGUCGUCGUUAACUCCGGUACCAUCUAUUUCAUGAGCGGCUCUUAGGCUUCGUUGAACUCGUCAUAGCCCGACCCUUUUGGUUCAACGUCCCUAAAAAACGACCGGUCCACUACUUUCGUAGCUUUCCAUUUCGUUCAGGACAAAAUAACUUGUUUUAGGAGCCCCUCUUCAACUUCCCGUUAAUUUUAACGGCUCCCCACAAAGCCGUGUGUCUCUUAUAAAACGGGAACUACUCACUUGGUAGUCUAAUUGAUUUCACCUUGGGGCGUCGCCUUUGCGUAAGAAAACAUUUCUGUGAACCUCAAAAAAAAACUCAACAACUAACAAAAACUCUAUCGAUUGGCGAAUAAGUUUCGCCACUGUGAAUGAACCUCAAACUUCACAACUAAUGUAAAGCGAGAGAAAAGUGAUGUCUCACCUAAAACCUUUUCGUUAGCUCAAGUGUACUAUGUUACUUCCUAUACGUACCAUACACAAACUCGACUACUACCUCACCGGUCAACAUGUCUACUUAGUCAACGCAUACGAAUGUACAAAGAUGAGCGCAGAAAAAAACGUAAACUAGAAUGCGUCGACAUUUGAGUAAAAAUUAAACCUGUGUAGUCAAUGCUAGGACUUACACCGAAAUGGAAAACUUAAUGAUGAUUCAAUUCGGGAACUCAAACAAGGUCGUAAUAGUAUAGUAAAACUUGAUGAUAAUUC